UACGUAGGGUGCGAGCGUUAAUCGGAAUUACUGGGCGUAAAGCGUGCGCAGGCGGUUCGUUGUGUCGGUGGUGAAAUCCCCGGGCUUAACCUGGGAAUUGCGUUGGAGACUGCAAGGCUUGAAUCUGGCAGAGGGGGGUAGAAUUCCACGUGUAGCAGUGAAAUGCGUAGAGAUGUGGAGGAACACCGAUGGCGAAGGCAGCCCCCUGGGUCAAGAUUGACGCUCAUGCACGAAAGCGUGGGGAGCAAACAGG
rnacentral:rRNA from 1 species